AUGAUUUAUUGACUUAAUGAUCCUUUCUUUGGUAACUCAAGCCCAUUAAGUUGUGAUUCAGAGCUUCUCAUUGGUUGUCUAGCUCGAGUACCGUCGCGUGUGAACUAGGUUGCACCUCGUCCAUACAGGGCACGUGAAAUUGAGACGCACAUUAAGAGACGUUGAUCGUUCGUACAAGACACAUCGAAUCAAGGCAUGCGUAACUUGAAUAGGACCACAAAAAGUUUAUCUGCAUAGCCCAAUCUAGGACGAGCUUGCCAUGGUUUAUGUCACUUGAACAGUUAAACCAAUGCUGAAUGAGGAUGAGCUGAGCUGGCAUGACCUGAACAGUCAAACCAGUGUUGAGUGAGGACCAACUGAGCUGGCAUGAAUUGAAUAAUCAAACCAAUGUUGAGUGAGGACGGUUUGAGUUGGCGUGACUUGAACAGUCAAACGAGUGUUGAGUGAGGACGAGCUGAGAUGGCAUGACUUGAACAUUCAAAC
rnacentral:lncRNA from 1 species